GCGCGGGUGGCUUAGAUGGCAGAGCAGUGGGACGGUACCCCAUGGUACCGGGUUCAAGUCCCGGCCGGCACA